rnacentral:misc_RNA from 1 species
GAGAGGAGCAACCCAACACCGAUAUCAUCACUCUCACCCGCCAUGUCCUUGCGGACCAGUUCAGCCUCGGGGCCAUCGCGACUGGAGACCUUACACUGUUGUUGACUGCCAUCCAGACGACGUCGAAGUUCAUCGCGACCAAUGUCCGAAAAGCGCGCCUGAUCAACCUCGUUGGCCUUGCGGGCGAGACGAAUGUGCAAGGCGAGGAGCAGAAGAAGCUGG